rnacentral:rRNA from 1 species
UACGUAGGGACCGAGCGUUGUCCGGAUUCAUUGGGCGUAAAGGGCUCGUAGGUGGCCAACUAAGUCAGACGUGAAAUCCCUCGGCUUAACCGGGGAACUGCGUCUGAUACUGGUUGGCUUGAGUUUGGGAGAGGGAUGCGGAAUUCCAGGUGUAGCGGUGAAAUGCGUAGAUAUCUGGAGGAACACCGGUGGCGAAGGCGGCAUCCUGGACCAAUACUGACGCUGAGGAGCGAAAGCCAGGGGAGCAAACGGG